rnacentral:misc_RNA from 1 species
AACAUAUAAGGCUUUGCCUUGCGUUGAUAUUUUGGUUUGUCAAAGACCAAGUAUCUAAAAUCAUUGGCAAUUUGAAAAUGACCGAAGCGCAGCGAAAUGCGAAUUGAAAGUCAUAUAGAAAAUUGAGCCAAUUCAAAACUCAA